GGCUAGUCUGAAGGUAGCAAGUUAUCUCAACUGAUUACAGAUCAAAUUCUUUGUUCUACUCUUUCCCCUCUUCUCACUGCUGCACUUGAGUAGUCUUAA
rnacentral:Y_RNA from 1 species